rnacentral:rRNA from 1 species
AUUGAACGCUGGCGGCAGGCCUAACACAUGCAAGUCGAGCGGAUGAAGGGAGCUUGCUCCUGGAUUCAGCGGCGGACGGGUGAGUAAUGCCUAGGAAUCUGCCUGGUAGUGGGGGAUAACGUCCGGAAACGGGCGCUAAUACCGCAUACGUCCUGAGGGAGAAAGUGGGGGAUCUUCGGACCUCACGCUAUCAGAUGAGCCUAGGUCGGAUUAGCUAGUUGGUGGGGUAAAGGCCUACCAAGGCGACGAUCCGUAACUGGUCUGAGAGGAUGAUCAGUCACACUGGAACUGAGACACGGUCCAGACUCCUACGGGAGGCAGCAGUGGGGAAUAUUGGACAAUGGGCGAAAGCCUGAUCCAGCCAUGCCGCGUGUGUGAAGAAGGUCUUCGGAUUGUAAAGCACUUUAAGUUGGGAGGAAGGGCAGUAAGUUAAUACCUUGCUGUUUUGACGUUACCAACAGAAUAAGCACCGGCUAACUUCGGGC